rnacentral:rRNA from 1 species
AGUUCGAUUGCGGCUCAGAUUGAACGCUGGCGGGAUGCUUUACACAUGCAAGUCGAACGGCAGCACGGACUUCGGUCUGGUGGCGAGUGGCGAACGGGUGAGUAAUGUAUCGGAACGUGCCUAGUAGCGGGGAUAACUACGCGAAAGCGUAGCUAAUACCGCAUACGCCCUUCGGGGGAAAGCGGGGGACCUUCGGGCCUCGCACUAUUAGAGCGGCCGGGAUAUCGGAUUAGCUAGCUGGUGGGGUAACGGCUCACCAAGGCGACGAUCCGUAGCUGGUUUGAGAGGACGACCAGCCACACUGGGACUGAGACACGGCCCAGACUCCUACGGGAGGCAGCAGUGGGGGAAUUUUGGACAAUGGGGAAACCCUGAUCCAGCCAUCCCGGGCGUGCGAUGAAGGCCUUCGGGUUGUAAAGCACUUUUGGCAGGAGAAGAAACGGCACGGGAUAAUACCCUGCAACUGAUUUACCUGCAGAAUAAGCACCGGCUAACUACGUGCCAGCAGCCGCGGUAAUACGUAGGGUGCAAGCGUUAAUCGGAAUUACUGGGCGUAAAGCGUGCGCAGGCGGUUCGGAAAGAAAGAUGUGAAAUCCCAGAGCUUAACUUUGGGAAACUGCAUUUUUAACUACCGAGCUAGAGUAAAGUCAGAUGUGGAGGUGGAAUUCGCGUAGCAGUGAAAUGCGUAGAUAUGCGGAGGAACACCGAUGGCGAAGGCAGCCUCCUGGGAUAACACUGACGCUCAUGCACGAAAGCGUGGGGAGCAAACAGGAUUAGAUACCCCAGUAGUCCACGCCUCAAACGAUGUCAACUAGCUGUUGGGGCCUUCGGGCCUUGGUAAAGGCAGCUAACGCGUGAAGUUGACCGCCUGGGGAGUACGGUCGCAAGAUUAAAACUCAAAGGAAUUGACGGGGACCCGCACAAGCGGUGGAUGAUGUGGAUUAAUUGAUGCAACGCGAAAAACCUUACCUACCCUUGACAUGUCUGGAAUCCCGAAGAGAUUUGGGGAGUGCUCGCAAGAGAACCGGAAACACAGGUGGCUGCAUGGCUGUCGUCAGCUUCCUGCCGUGAGAUGCUGGGUUAAGUCCCGCAACGAGCGCAACCCUUGUCAUUAGUUGCUACGAAAGGGCACUCUAAUGAGACUGCCGGUGACAAACCGGAGGAAGGUGGAUGACGUCAAGUCCUCAUGGCCCUUAUGGGUAGGGCUUCACACGUCAUACAAUGGUCGGGACAGAGGGUCGCCAACUCCGCGAGGGGGAGCCAUCCCAGAAACCCGAUCAGUCCGGAUCGCAGUCUGCAACUCGACUGCGUGAAGCGUCGGAAUCGCUAGUAAUCGCGGAUCAGCAUGUCGCGGGUGAAUACGUUCCUUGGCCUGUACAUAAUUCGCUUCGUCACACCAUGGGAGGGGUUUUACCAGAAGCAGUUAGCUUAACCGUGGCAGAGGCGGACAAUACGGUAGGAUUCAUGACUGGGGUGAAGUCGUAACAAGGUAA